UCUCCGUUGGUGAACCAGCGGAGGGAUCAUUACAGGACUCGCUAGACUCCUACAACCCUGUGAACUUAACUAUAAGCACGUUGCUUCGGCGGGUGUCUCGGAGGGGGUUCUCCCUCCCCGAGACGCUAAACCCGCCGGCAGCCUACUAUACUCUGUCUCUUUGCGUUGGCAUCUCGAGUACAAUCAAACAAGUUAAAACUUUCAACAACGGAUCUCUUGGUUCUG
rnacentral:misc_RNA from 1 species